AGAGUUUGAUCCUGGCUCAGAGCGAACGCUGGCGGCAGGCCUAAAACAUGCAAGUCGAACGAUCCUUCGGGAUAGUGGCGGACGGGUGAGUAACACGUGGGAACGUGCCCUUUGGUUCGGAACAAGCCGGGGAAACCUGGUCUAAUGCCGAAUGUGCCCUACGGGGGAAAGAUUUAUCGCCAUUGGAGCGGCCCGCGUCUGAUUAGCUUGUUGGUGAGGUAAAGGCUCACCAAGGCGACGAUCAGUAGCUGGUCUGAGAGGAUGAUCAGCCACACUGGGACUGAGACACGGCCCAGACUCCUACGGGAGGCAGCAGUUAGGAAUCUUGCGCAAUGGGCGAAAGCCUGACGCAGCCAUGCCGCGUGAAUGAUGAAGGUCUUAGGAUUGUAAAAUUCUUUCAGCGGGGAAGAUAAUGACGGUACCCGCAGAAGAAGCUCC
rnacentral:rRNA from 1 species